ensembl:lncRNA
CUGCGCCAUCUGCGGGGAUCGAUCCUCAGGCAAGCACUACGGCGUGUACAGCUGCGAGGGCUGUAAGGGUUUCUUUAAACGCACCAUCCGUAAGGAUUUGAGCUACAGCUGCCGCGACAACCGCGACUGCGUGGUGGACAAACGGCAACGCAACCGCUGCCAGUACUGCAGGUACCAGAAGUGCCUGGCCAGCGGCAUGAGGAGGGAAGGUAAGUCUAUAUGGGAUCAUUUAUGGGCCAUAAAUGACCCCAAAUCCUCAUUUCUGAGCCCAAAAUCCUGCUUCUAGACCCCAUAAUUGCCCCCAAAACCCCCUUUCUGAGCCCAGAAACCCCAUUUCUGACCCCAAAAUCCCACUAUCUGAGCACAAAUCCUGCUUCUUGAUCCCAUAAUUGCCUCAAAUCCCUUUCUGACCCCAAAAUCCCCCUAUAGAACCCCAAAAUCCCACUUUAGGAGCCCAAAAAACCCGUUUCUGAGCCCAAAUCCUGCUUCUAGACCCCAGAAUUACCCCAAAGUCCCCCUUUCUGACCCCAAAAAGCCCCUUUCUGACCCCAAAAUCGCCCUUUCUGACCCCAAAAUCUGACUCUCAGAACCCAAAAGUACCCCAAAAUCCUAUUCCCCCCUAUGGGUCAGCCCCCAUUCAUCCCUAUGGGUCAGCCCCCAUUCAUCCCUAUGGGUCAGCCCCCAUUCAUCCCUAUGGGUCAGCCCCCAUUCAUCCCUAUAGGUCAUCCCCCCAUUGAUCCCUAUGGGUCAUCCCCCCAUUCACCCCUAUGGGUCAUCCCCCCAUUGAUCCCUAUGGGGCAGCCCCCCAUUGAUCCCUAUGGGUCAGCCCCCCAUUGAUCCCUAUGGGUCAGCCCCCAUUCAUCCCUAUGUGUCAUCCCCCCAUUGAUCCCUAUGGGUCAUCCCCCCAUUGAUCCCUAUGGAUCAGCCCCCCAUUCAUCCCUAUGGGUCAGCCCCCAUUGAUCCCUAUGGGGCAGCCCCCUAUGGGUCAUCCCCAUUCAUCCCUAUGGGGCAGCCCCCUAUGGGUCAGCCCCCAUUCAUCCCUAUGGGGCAGCCCCUAUUCCCCCCUAUCCCCCAUUCAUCCCUAUGGGUCAACCUCCAUUCCCCCCUAUGGGGCAGCCCCUAUGGGUCAUCCCCCAUUGAUCCCUAUGUGUCAGCCCCCCAUUGAUCCCUAUGGGGCCGGCUCACAGCACCCCCCCAUUCAUCCCUAUGUGUCAGCCCCCAUUGAUCCCUAUGUGUCAUCCCCCCAUUGAUCCCUAUGGGGCCGGCUGACAGCGCCCCCCCAUUGAUCCCUAUGGGUCAUCCCCCCAUUGAUCCCUAUGGGUCAUCCCCCCAUUGAUCCCUAUGGGUCAGUCCCCAUUGAUCCCUAUGGUUCAGCCCCCCAUUGAUCCCUAUGGGUCAGCCCCCAUUGAUCCCUAUGGGUCAGCCCCCCAUUCAUCCCUAUGGGUCAGGCCCCCAUUCAUCCCUAUGUGUCAUCCCCCCAUUCAUCCCUAUGGGUCAGCCCCCAUUCAUCCCUAUGGGGCAGCCCCUAUGGGUCAGCCCCCAUUCAUCCCUAUGGGGCAGCCCCCCAUUGAUCCCUAUGGGUCAUCCCCCCAUUCACCCCUAUGGGUCAUCCCCCCAU